rnacentral:rRNA from 1 species
AUUGAACGCUGGCGGCAUGCUUUACACAUGCAAGUCGAACGCGAAAGAGGGGGCAACCCCUUGAGUAGAGUGGCGAACGGGUGAGUAAUACAUCGGAACGUACCCAGUCGUGGGGGACAACCAGUCGAAAGACUGGCUAAUACCGCAUACGCAGGAGACUGGAAAGGGGGCGCCCGCAAGGGGCUCUCGCGAUUGGAGCGGCCGAUGUCCGAUUAGCUAGUUGGUGGGGUAAGAGCCCACCAAGGCGACGAUCGGUAGCUGGUCUGAGAGGAUGAUCAGCCACACUGGGACUGAGACACGGCCCAGACUCCUACGGGGGGCAGCAGUGGGGAAUUUUGGGCAAGGGGCGAAAGCCUGAUCCAGCCAUGCCGCGUGAGGGAAGAAGGCCUUCGGGUUGUAAACCUCUUUCGGCCGGGACGAAAUCGCAUCGGUUAAUACCCGGUGUGGAUGACGGUACCGGAAGAAGAAGCACCGGCUAACUACGUGCCAGCCGCCGCCGUAAGAC